rnacentral:tRNA from 1 species
GCCAGGGUGGCUCAGUCGGUUGAGCGUCUGACUUCGGCUCAGGUCCUGAUCCUACAGUUUGUGGGUUCGAGCCCCACGUCGGGCU